rnacentral:rRNA from 1 species
CCUACGGGUGGCAGCAGUGAGGAAUAUUGGUCAAUGGACGAGAGUCUGAACCAGCCAAGCAGCGUGAAGGAUGACUGCCCUAUGGGUUGUAAACUUCUUUUAUAUGGGAAUAAAGUGUUCCACGUGUGGGAUUUUGUAUGUACCAUAUGAAUAAGGAUCGGCUAACUCCGGGCCAGCAGCCGCGGUAAUACGGAGGAUCCGAGCGUUAUCCGGAUUUAUUGGGUUUAAAGGGAGCGUAGGUGGAUUGUUAAGUCAGUUGUGAAAGUUUGCGGCUCAACCGUAAAAUUGCAGUUGAUACUGGCAGUCUUGAGUACAGUAGAGGUAGGCGGAAUUCGUGGUGUAGCGGUGAAAUGCUUAGAUAUCACGAAGAACUCCGAUUGCGAAGGCAGUUCACUGGACUGCAACUGACACUGAGGCUCGAAAGUGUGGGUAUCAAACAGGAUUAGAUACCCCAGUAGUC